rnacentral:rRNA from 1 species
GUAGGUGGCAAGCGUUGUCCGGAAUUAUUGGGCGUAAAGCGCGCGCAGGUGGUUCUUUAAGUCUGAUGUGAAAGCCCCCCGGCUCAACCGGGGAGGGUCACUGGAAACUGGGGAACUUGAGUGCAGGAGAGGAAAGUGGAAUUCCACGUGUAGCGGUGAAAUGCGUAGAUAUGUGGAGGAACACCAGUGGCGAAGGCGACUUUCUGGCCUGUAACUGACACUGAGGCGCGAAAGCGUGGGGAGCAAACAGGGAUUAGAUACCCUGGUAGUCCACGCCGUAAACGAUGAGUGCUAAGUGUUGGGGGGGUUUCCCGCCCCGUCAGUGCUGCAGCUAACGCAUUAAGCACUCCGCCUGGGGAUACGGUCGCAAGACUG